AGAAGUACAAAAAACUUGAGAAACUAUAUUUAAAAAGUGAAAGAUCGAGGGUUUUAAUGAAAAAAAAUCACAACCGAUUGCAAGUCAUUAUGAAGAGGAAAAUUAUGAAACUGGAAAAAAUUGUACGUGUUGCUCAAAGGUGGAAACAAACCGUGGCAUAUUUUUAUUCCGGUAAUAGUACAAACGGAUCGAUUUAUAAGUCAAUAAUUUUAAAUAUUAUUGAGGAAGCUAACAAAAUAGGAUUGCGUGUUCAAGGUAUCGUAUCCAAUAUGGGUGCUCCAAACCAGGCAAUGUGGAAAUCGUUUAACAUUAAUGUUUCUCGAUAUUCGACGGUACAAAAUAAAUAAAAAUCAUUUAUUCAUGAAUCUAUACCAGCCAGUUUGAAAUUACCCGAGCUCAAUUAUGCAGAGUACACAUACGAAAGGAUCAAAAAUGAAUUUCAUAACUGCAAAUAGAUGGCAAGUAUGAAUAUAUAUGUGAAUAUAUUUUCAUUUGUAAAAUAUUUUGUACAUAAAAAAUAAAACUUUUUAA